AUUGAACGCUGGCGGCAUGCCUUACACAUGCAAGUCGAACGGCAGCACGGGAGCUUGCUCCUGGUGGCGAGUGGCGAACGGGUGAGUAACACAUCGGAACGUACCCUGAAGUGGGGGAUAACGUAGCGAAAGUUACGCUAAUACCGCAUAUUCUGUGAGCAGGAAAGAGGGGGAUCGCAAGACCUCUUGCUUUAGGAGCGGCCGAUGUCGGAUUAGCUAGUUGGUGAGGUAAAGGCUCACCAAGGCGACGAUCCGUAGCGGGUCUGAGAGGAUGAUCCGCCACACUGGGACUGAGACACGGCCCAGACUCCUACGGGAGGCAGCAGUGGGGAAUUUUUGGACAAUGGGCGCAAGCCUGAUCCAGCCAUGCCGCGUGAGUGAAGAAGGCC
rnacentral:rRNA from 1 species